rnacentral:rRNA from 1 species
GAUGAACGCUGGCUACAGGCUUAACACAUGCAAGUCGAGGGGAAACGACGGGGAAGCUUGCUUCCCCGGGCGUCGACCGGCGCACGGGUGAGUAACGCGUAUCCAACCUGCCUCUGACUGAGGGAUAACCCGUCGAAAGUCGGCCUAAUACCUCAUGGCAUCGUCUGCGGGCAUCCAACGACGAUUAAAGAUUUCAUCGGUCAGGGAUGGGGAUGCGUCUGAUUAGCUAGUUGGCGGGGUAACGGCCCACCAAGGCGACGAUCAGUAGGGGUUCUGAGAGGAAGGUCCCCCACAUUGGAACUGAGACACGGUCCAAACUCCUACGGGAGGCAGCAGUGAGGAGUAUUGGUCAAUGGGCGAGAGCCUGAACCAGCCAAGUAGCGUGCAGGAUGACGGCCCUAUGGGUUGUAAACUGCUUUUAUGCGGGGAUAAAGUGAGGGACGUGUCCUUCAUUGCAGGUACCGCAUGAAUAAGGACCGGCUAAUUCCGUG